UCCCAUACCUCAGCUCAAGCUUUCUAUCUCCUCAGAAGAUGAAGAAACGAAGACAGAGAUUGAGACUUGUCUAGAGUAACACAAACCAAUGACAAAACAGGUUCAGAGAAGUUGAAGCUUGUCCAGUGUCACAGAGCAGAGCUGG